AUCCCAGAUAAGCUAAGAAACAGAGUGCUUAUUCUGAUUCAUGGGAGGCCAAAAUCAAACACAAUGGAAGUUUCGCUGAGAAACCCUUCUUACUUUUCAAUCGAUGGUGUUUCCUAGUAACUUCUCCAUACAUGC